AGAACGUACAUUCAAAUAAUCAUCAUCAUCCCACCAUCUAUCUGAGCAAUUCACAGUGGUUAAUAAAUUCGAAUGCUGCUGCACUGCCGAUUGGCCGCUACAGCGCCCCGUAGUUGAUGACGUCACCCGCCUAACGCUUGACGUUAUCCGUAUCCGAUGAGAUGAAGUCAAGUUUCGCGCCGGAAGAUAACGGCUGGGAGUAAAAAUUGCGAUUUCAGCAUUGGAGAUCCUCUAAGUCCUACUUAUCACCAAUCAAUUACCUCAAAUGAAAAGUUACCUCGCCAUUAUUGCUCAAAAAGACUGGAAGGAGUCCUGUUGAGGAUUUAGAUUCCUCCUCUUUUGAAAAGUGCAACCGAUUGAAGUUAUAAAGGGCUCUGGGGUCUUUUGCCAGGCAGAAGUGUGGAAAGCAGCCCUCCUUGCCACCUCUGCUACUGCCAUGGUGUGGAAUCUGCUGCUGGGCACAUUUGAUCUGGAGACUUUGCUGAAAAACAACCUGAAUGGUGGGAAGCCAACCAGAGGGGAUGGGGAGCAGCUGGUCGCCCUUGACCAAAUUAAAAAGGCAUCAUUAUUGAUGCUACAUUGAAGAAGUGUCCGUCAGCCAGCCGAGGGGAGAUGGGCACGUCUAUCAAUUCAAAGCUCAUGGAGCUGAGAAGAUCAAAAAGAUUUUUUUUCUAUCCAGUUUUUUUGUCUUAUUUUUGUUUUUGUACUAUUUGAUCUUAAGUAAAUAAAUAAUCUAAAUGC